UAACUUGUCACCUGCCGCUGC
rnacentral:siRNA from 1 species